CCCGCAACGAGCGCAACCCUUAUCCUUUGUUGCCAGCGAGUAAUGUCGGGAACUCAAAGGAGACUGCCGGUGAUAAACCGGAGGAAGGUGGGGAUGACGUCAAGUCAUCAUGGCCCUUACGAGUAGGGCUACACACGUGCUACAAUGGCGCAUACAAAGAGAAGCGACCUCGCGAGAGCAAGCGGACCUCACAAAGUGCGUCGUAGUCCGGAUCGGAGUCUGCAACUCGACUCCGUGAAGUCGGAAUCGCUAGUAAUCGUGGAUCAGAAUGCCACGGUGAAUACGUU
rnacentral:rRNA from 1 species